rnacentral:rRNA from 1 species
CCUACGGGUGGCAGCAGUGGGGAAUUUUCCGCAAUGGGCGAAAGCCUGACGGAGCAAUACCGCGUGAGGGAGGAAGGCUCUUGGGUCGUAAACCUCUUUUCUCAAGGAAGAAGAAAGUGACGGUACUUGAGGAAUAAGCAUCGGCUAACUCCGUGCCAGCAGCCGCGGUAAUACGGAGGAUGCAAGCGUUAUCCGGAAUGAUUGGGCGUAAAGGGUCUGCAGGUGGAACUGAAAGUCUGCUGUUAAAGAGUUUGGCUUAACCAAAUAAAAGCGGUGGAAACUACAGAACUAGAGUGCGGUAGGGGCAAAAGGAAUUCCUGGUGUAGCGGUGAAAUGCGUAGAUAUCAGGAAGAACACCGGUGGCGAAAGCGUUUUGCUAGACCGUAACUGACACUGAGGGACGAAAGCUAGGGGAGCGAAUGGGAUUAGAUACCCUGGUAGUC